rnacentral:rRNA from 1 species
CAAGUCGCACGAGAAAGGGGAGCAAUCCCUGAGUAAAGUGGCGCACGGGUGAGUAACACGUGACUAACCUACCUCCGAGUGGGGAAUAACCUAGGGAAACCUGGGCUAAUACCGCAUAACACUCAAGAGUCAAAGCAGCAAUGCGCUUGGAGAGGGGGUCGCGGCAGAUUAGCUAGUUGGCGGGGUAAUGGCCCACCAAGGCGAUGAUCUGUAUCCGGCCUGAGAGGGCGCACGGACACACUGGAACUGAAACACGGUCCAGACUCCUACGGGAGGCAGCAGUGGGGAAUUUUGCGCAAUGGGGGAAACCCUGACGCAGCAACGCCGCGUGGAGGAUGAAGUCUCUUGGGACGUAAACUCCUUUCGAUCGGGACGAUUAUGACGGUACCGGAAGAAGAAGCCCCGGCUAACUUCGUGCCAGCAGCCGCGGUAAUACGAGGGGGGCAAGCGUUGUUCGGAAUUAUUGGGCGUAAAGGGUGCGUAGGCGGUUUGGCAAGUCUAGUGUGAAAUCUUCGGGCUCAACUCGAAGUCUGCACUGGAAACUGCCGGGCUUGAGUAUGGGAGAGGUGAGUGGAAUUUCCGGUGUAGCGGUGAAAUGCGUAGAUAUCGGAAGGAACACCUGUGGCGAAAGCGGCUCACUGGACCAUUACUGACGCUGAGGUACGAAAGCUAGGGGAGCAAACAGGAUUAGAUACCCUGGUAGUCCUAGCCCUAAACGAUGAUUGCUUGGUGUGACAGGUACCCAAUCCUGUUGUGCCGAAGCUAACGCGAUAAGCAAUCCGCCUGGGGAGUACGGUCGCAAGGCUGAAACUCAAA